UACGGGGGGGGCAAGCGUUGUUCGGAAUUACUGGGCGUAAAGGGUUCGUAGGUGGCCAACUAAGUCAGACGUGAAAUCCCUCAGCUUAACUGGGGAACUGCGUCUGAGACUGGAUGGCUUGAGUGCAGGAGAGGAACGCGGAAUUCCAGGUGUAGCGGUGAAAUGCGCAGAGAUCGGGAGGAACACCCGUAGCGAAGGCGGCACUCUGGGCCGGUACUGACGCUGAGGAGCGAAAGCGUGGGGAGCAAACAGG
rnacentral:rRNA from 1 species